GACGAACCGUGCGAACGUUGUUCAGAAUCACUGGGCUUAAAGGGCGCGUAGGCGGGCAAUCAAGUCUGAGGUGAAAUCCUCCAGCUUAACUGGAGAAGUGCCCUGGAUACUGAUUGCCUCGAGGAUGGUAGGGGCAUCUGGAACUAGCGGUGGAGCGGUGAAAUGCGUUGAUAUCGCUAGGAACUCCGGUGGCGAAGGCGAGGUGCUGGACCAUUUCUGACGCUGAGGCGCGAAAGCCAGGGGAGCGAACGGG
rnacentral:rRNA from 1 species